rnacentral:rRNA from 1 species
GACGUAGGGCGCGAGCGUUGUCCGGAUUUAUUGGGCGUAAAGAGCUCGUAGGCGGCUUGUCGCGUCGUCCGUGAAAACCUGCAGCUCAACUGCAGGCUUGCGGUCGAUACGGGCAGGCUAGAGUUCGGUAGGGGAGACUGGAAUUCCUGGUGUAGCGGUGAAAUGCGCAGAUAUCCGGAGGAACACCGGUGGCGAAGGCGGCUUCCUGGACCGACACUGACGCUGAGGCGCGAAAGCUAGGGGAGCAAACGGG